rnacentral:rRNA from 1 species
CGAGUGGCGAACGGGUGAGUAACACGUGAGUAACCUGCCCUUGACUUUGGGAUAACUUCAGGAAACUGGGGCUAAUACCGGAUAGGAGCUCCUGCUGCAUGGUGGGGGUUGGAAAGUUUCGGCGGUUGGGGAUGGACUCGCGGCUUAUCAGCUUGUUGGUGGGGUAGUGGCUUACCAAGGCUUUGACGGGUAGCCGGCCUGAGAGGGUGACCGGCCACAUUGGGACUGAGAUACGGCCCAGACUCCUACGGGAGGCAGCAGUGGGGAAUAUUGCACAAUGGGCGGAAGCCUGAUGCAGCAACGCCGCGUGCGGGAUGACGGCCUUCGGGUUGUAAACCGCUUUCGCCUGUGACGAAGCGUGAGUGACGGUAAUGGGUAAAGAAGCACCGGCUAACUACGUGCCAGCAGCCGCGGUGAUACGUAGGGUGCGAGCGUUGUCCGGAUUUAUUGGGCGUAAAGGGCUCGUAGGUGGUUGAUCGCGUCGGAAGUGUAAUCUUGGGGCUUAACCCUGAGCGUGCUUUCGAUACGGGUUGACUUGAGGAAGGUAGGGGAGAAUGGAAUUCCUGGUGGAGCGGUGGAAUGCGCAGAUAUCAGAGGAACACCAGUGGCGAAAGCGGUUCUCUGGGCCUUUCCUGACGCUGAGGAGCGAAAGCGUGGGGAGCGAACAGGCUUAGAUACCCUGGUAGUCCACGCUGUAAACGGUGGGUACUAGGUGUGGGGUCCAUUCCACGGGUUCCGUGCCGUAGCUAACGCUUUAAGUACCCCGCCUGGGGAGUACGGCCGCAAGGCUAAAACUCAAAGGAAUUGACGGGGCCCCGCACAAGCGGCGGAGCAUGCGGAUUAAUUCGAUGCAACGCGUAGAACCUUACCUGGGUUUGACAUGGAUCGGGAGUGCUCAGAGAUGGGUGUGCCUCUUUUGGGGUCGGUUCACAGGUGGUGCAUGGCUGUCGUCAGCUCGUGUCGUGAGAUGUUGGGUUAAGUCCCGCAACGAGCGCAACCCUUGUUCACUGUUGCCAGCACGUUAUGGUGGGGACUCAGUGGAGACCGCCGGGGUCAACUCGGAGGAAGGUGGGGAUGACGUCAAGUCAUCAUGCCCCUUAUGUCCAGGGCUUCACGCAUGCUACAAUGGCUGGUACAGAGAGUGGCGAGCCUGUGAGGGUGAGCGAAUCUCGGAAAGCCGGUCUCAGUUCGGAUUGGGGUCUGCAACUCG